GUCGCAGUUCGCAGUAAAUAAAAAGUUUGACUUACUAUACUUUCUGAGAUUUCAGACUUUGACUGUUGAGAGCUUUCAGACAAGCAGCGCUAUGGAAGCCAGCAGCAAGCAGCAGAAAAAGUCGGAAAAUUCAUCAUUGUCUUCUUCUUCAAAGCUCCUGCUCUACUCCUACUGGCAGAGCUCCUGCUCUUGGUUCGUCCGCUUCGCUCUAAGUCUUAAAGGACUUCCAUACGAGUACAAACCAGUGAACAUCACAAAAGGAGAGCAGUUCAGUCCAG